CAAACCCCCCUGUACAAGGUUCAAAACCCCCCUGUACAGUGCUCCAAAGUUUUUCCCUUCACCCUCUGAUUGCUACUACUAUGCUACUUAAACUUUUGUGGCCCGUAAUUCUUUAUAUAAGGUUGGCGAUUUCCUCCAUGAAUUAAGGUCGAAUUUCCAGGUGUCUUCGGCUUCCUGCCAGGGUCUCCAAGCCCCUGCCAGGGCUUUGAGACAUCCAGGGCAUCCAGAGAGGUGUCCUGGGUUCCAACAGGAGUGGAGCCUGGGGACAGGCCGAGUAGUGCAGGGGGGUUCAGGGAGUGACCCCAGGAUUUGGGUUGGAGUCGUAUGGGGGCUGAGGGACUUGUAGUCAUGGGAGUAGAGUUGGGUUUCUGGAGCUCCAGGAGAACACAGUACUGUGGGAUUUGGAUUGGUGUACCUGGGGGCUGGGGGACAUUGGGGAGGCAUAAGCAACCCCAGGAUUCAGGAUCAGGGACCCCAGACAUUCCCAGGGGUCUGCUAGCCAGGAGUGCCUCCCUUCCCCCUGGGCUGACCACACUCCCCUGCCCAGUCCCUCGCUGAGGAACUCUGCUCUGUGUCUCCUCUGUGUCUCCUCCAUGUCCCCUCUGUGUCCCCCAGUGUCUCCUGCGUGACCCCUCAGUGUCUCCAGUGUCCUACCCUGGUCCCUGUGGCCUCUCUUCUCCAUGGCCCCCCUGGCUCAGACCCUGGCACUGCUAGUAAUGAUCAUGGCUACUGCGGCCAUUGAGGUGAUCCCCCUGGACAUGGCCCAGGACUCCUUCGAUGACCAGUACCAGGGCUGUGGCCCUGCCAUGACAGCAGUAUUACUGGCCCUCCACUGUUGCGAGUUCCAGCAGAACAAGAAGUUUGCUGAGGUUUGGGAAAAGGCCAUGGCUAAGUGGCAGAGUCAGGGGUCCCCUACGUCCCCUCUGUCCCCAGAACAGCCCACUGCCAUCAUGGCCUUCACAACAGAUGGCCUGUCCGAUAUGUUCAAUAAUGCCAUGCGUGUGGCCGGGCGCUCCCGCCAGGAAUACUGGGACAAUUUCCACUUCAAAACGCUGCAUUUCCUGCUGACCGACGCCCUGGCGACGCUGAGGGAUGCUCAGAAAGGGCAGUGUCUCGAUGUGUUCAUGUGGGCGUGUGGGGUCCAACUCGACACGCAGCAUGGUGACAUCGUCCGGUUCGGUCAAUUCAUGUCAUCGUUCCUGAGCAAACCUCUUGGCAAGUGCUCCAAUCUCACGUUAGUCGAGCUGCGCACAUGCCAUGGUGUGGAAAUCCAGUUUUUUACCGAACAUCCGGGACAGCCGGUGGUGCUGAUCCCACCCUUCGAGACCUUCAAGGUCAUCCAAGUCACGCCGGAACAGGACAAGACACAGAUGUCAGAUUCAAGGGGGAUGUGGGGUAGGUGGUUUGGGACUGCUGCACCUUCCCAGUCCCUCAGCCCGUGGGGAAGAGGAGAGGGCACCAUGCUGCCGGGGGUUUGGGAUAAAAGGAGGCUGUGCCCUCUGAUACCUCGAGAGAGAAACCCCACGGGGAUAUGGCUGUGGAAAGUCUGUCUCUUUAUUGAAAUCAAGUUUCAAGACUGCUUUGUGGACACUUGACUUUUCAUAGUGUGGCUUUUCCUCACAUGCUGAAGGUGCUGGAUAGAGCUUAAAGUCUGACAGGCAAAAAUGAUAAAAGGAUGUAAAAGAAUUUACACAGGGCAAUAAACAUGGCUUGAAGCAGUGGAGAAAGAGAUGGAGGGAAGGGUUUUUUGACAAGUUCUGUACCACAGAAGGAGCAGCGCCUUGCGAAAGUGAAAGUUUGAGGUGAGGUCAUGUGGGAUAUUGGGACACAUUGAAAUGGCUUCCUGAUUACUGUUCAGGAAUUCUCCAGGACAAUAAGAGGAUUUCCAGAGAGGGGCAGAGCCAUGCCACCUAUUUACAGCAAAAAUGCUGUUUCUGUAUUAGAUAGGAAACCCAUUUCAAUAAAUAUUUAUAAUUAUGCUGGAUAAAUUCUGUGUGGCAAAGUCCCCACGGAGCUGCAGGACCAGGAGAGAUCUGCUGUGCGUCUGAGCUGAUACUGAAUCCCAGCUAUCUGAUACCUCCACUUCCAUCAGGGAGUUCACUCCGGCCGAUUUUGGUAUCAGUGUCUCCAGUGUCCCACACUGGUCCCUGUG